ensembl:ncRNA lncRNA:CR45584 long non-coding RNA:CR45584
AAACCACAAUUAAUCAAGGCAAACGCUCUUGACAGCAAAAAAAAAAAAUUAUUGACAGUUUCUUCUGUUUUUUUUUCUAGUCUUCUGGUAAAAAGUAAAAAGUUUCACAUUGGCAAUGCAGAGCUUCAAUUACAAUUUUUCGAUUUGCUGUGCGAAAAAGAGGAUUUCCAUUGCCAAUGAGCAAAGGAGGGAGGUGUUCAUUAAACGCUCUCCUUAUAGACAAACCGAGCCAUCUUUUUUUUCCUCUAUUUUGGCCAGCAUCCAAACACAUUCGCUUCACUCGUUCGCCGGCGGUCCUUUGUCCCAGGAACAAUGGUGGAACCGCAAUGUUGAGCCGGCGCAGAAGAGUGAAAUCCAUUUUUUCCAUUAAAUCGAGUCGCUGAUUGUGCAUGAAGCACUGCGGGGAGGCGCAAAUGUCAGGGCUCUUUGGUUAGAUGGGGGCGCCACGAUACUUGGAUAGGUUGCCCCCAUUGAGGGGUACGACGCAGUCGAGUCAGCGGCGGAGCGCCACCUUCACCCCGGCAAAUCGCAUCGACAUCCGAGUCACAGGGGAACUGGAUGCACCGAAUCGGGAAGUUUGGUGACAUACUUACUUUGGUGACAUACUAGAAUAUACUAAUGAAUAUAGCUACAAGCUAGAUGGACAGAUAUACAAAC